AAAACUGAUUUCAACAUUGAUCAUAAUAAUAAUAAUAAUAAAUGUUAGAAUGCCAGCAUAUUAGAAUGAUUUCUGAAGGAUCACGGGACAGAUUGAAAACAGUUAUUUUAAAUGGUAAUAAUAAUUUACAGCAUUACUGUUUUACUGCAUUUGCGAUCAAAUAAAUUCAGCCUAAAUUCAGCACAAGAGACUUCUUUCAAAAACAUUAAAAAAUCUUACCAACCCCAACCUUGUGAACAGUAGUGUAUAUUAAAAUCCUUUUACCAUAUGUAAAAAUAAAAAUGCACAUUAAUUAUAAUAAUAAUAAUUAACAUUAAUUAUUCAUUCACACAUUUUACACGACUCCCUUACUAAGCACAGAGAUAUGUUUUUAAAUCUAAUGCUUUGUUACAAAAUGCAGAUUGUCAGUGACAAUUCCAAGUACACAAACUAUCAUUCACACAGUUUUUUUUUAUUUUUUUAUUGUUAUUUAUUUUAUUUUUAUUGUCUCAUAUAAUUGGGAUAUAAAUGUGACUGAAUGUAAAAGACUGUGAUCAGUUCACAGCUCACCUACUGCACACCUACUGAUGUACAAGGCACCAUUAUGGGGGUGGGGGGGCUGGAGGUUAGGAUGAAUCCAAGGGGCCCACGAGGGAGAGGGGGCCCAGAAACCAUAGCAGCACCCCUGCUGAUGUAUCUAUCUCACUCAUAUUACCAGACAAUCACGAGUCGAACAAUAACUGCAGCACAGACUCCCGGAGCCUUUUGUCUACUGCUCAAUGUGAUCUCAUUUGAAGAGGGAAACUUUAGAGCAGAAUGUUUCAACAUUUUAAUCAUCAUGACAAAGUUGUUGUUUUUAUUUAUUAUUGAUUUGUGCUCAGGUGUUGCCAUUGGAGUGUUUGUGCCACAAUGCAAUAGCAUCAUUCCAUUUACGUAUCAGUGCAUUAUAACUUGAAUAUUUUUUCAGAUUCAGUGUUCCAUAAUCCUAUAUAAACUGUACUGACUAGACUGUAUAUGUGUAGACUGCCCAUGGUAACUGAUAUUUCAAUGUGCCGAAUUAAUGCUGUAUUAUUUUUACAAAAUCUGGUAUUGAGUACUUAUAUUAUUCAGAUGUCAGGUCACAACUGCCAGAUAGGCAGGUUGUUUGUUAUAAGUCAGUUGCUUUAUUCAUUCCUUUUCAUCAGGCAUAUUGUGCUAGUUUUGUAAAUCUAAGCAUGUGUUAGGCUGUAAUGUACCACCAGCUGACACGUAGGAGAACAGCGCUGUCUGUUCAUAGACUUCAGUGGCUGUAGUUGCUUGUCCACACAAUGGGUUAAAUUGUUACAUGUGCUUAGUUGAGGUUGUAAUGAUUGUACAAAUCAGUCUAUUCCAAAGACAAACUGACAGCUGGACCCUGUUUUAGUUGGCUCAGGCUUGAAGUCUGUACUUAUGGUGUAGUUUAGUAAGCAAUACUCAGUGCUACGCUUUGCAUGAAAAACCACUACAUACCUACAAAAUGCUGCACAAACACUGACACACAAGCACACGCAUGCACACGCAAAUGCACACACAUUUCUAAUGUCUGGCACAUAGACGAGAGGUUCUGAAUGUACAUUUAUUAGUAAUACUGAUCUAUAUUUCUGUAGAACAUGUGAAAUAUGGCUUGACCGAAAGGUUGUAUAAAAAUAAAAUCUCAUAAGAAAAUGCUGC
ensembl:lncRNA